GCGAAGCGACAGAAAGAGAAAUCGAUUAACUUAACAUCCAGUAGUAUACGUUCUUUCUCGACGUCCGCGGCUCGUGCGUUACGAUUUCGAUCGCUUUCCGACUAGACUUUCGUGCUAACGUAUUGUACGAUAGUCGCUCGAUAUAUGCACGUACGUACAGUACAUAGGAAUGAGACCGGGAAUCUUCGUCACGGUUUUAUGCUCCUCGCCAGUUUGAAUUUUAAAUAAUUCCGAUUCGAUCGAUCGAGUGGAGAUUCUGAAAAUAUACGUGGAAGUAUUUGAACACUUGGCAUAGAAAAGUUUGGGUCAUGACGAAUAGGAUGCAGAUCUGCUGCUCUCUUGUUCACCAGUUUCGAAGCCAGUGAAUUUCUUAUUUUGUGCAAUCGUAAAAGAAAUUGUUGAAUAGUUUCGGAUGGUUGGAUUACAUCCGUUGGGCAAUUUACACAUCCGGUUGAAUAUCGUUUUUAUCAAACAAAGUCAAUGGGUAAUGUUAGGAAUAAAUUUGAACGGAAUGUAGAAAUGCGAGUCUGAAAUUGUCUAAAUAGCGAAAAAGAAAGAAAGAAAGAAAGAAAGAAAGGACGGAAGGAAGGAAGUAAGGAACAUAUAGAGGGUGUCUCAGAUAAAUGGGAUCACUUAAGUAUCUGCCUUAUUUACAAUUGUGGAAAGAAUUUUUUCUUAAGAUCAUUUUAGCACGAGAUUUCAUUUAUAUUUUUAAAUCGAAUUCUAUAUAUUUUUAUCCAUCAAUUGAUGGGUUUCUGUAAUAGUCUAUAUGAAAGUAUUAAGCAGCAGUUCUCGUGUAAUAAUAACAAAGACAAAUAAUUUUUAUGAAUCGUUUUGGAUUACCUAUUAGCUAUAUGAGAUUAAAUCUUUUUGAAAUAUAAAUAUAGUCUUGAAAUAGAAAUGUAAUUUUUGUUAUUUCCAUUUUUCUUAUUGUUUAUCGACUUUCUAAACAGCCAUGAUUAAUAACUUUUUGAACUGACGUGCACGAUUAAAAAUUAAAAAGCUAAUUAAUCGAUUAAUCAUUUUCAGACAAUGUUCGCUUUGUUACAAACUUCUCCAGAGAUUGAAUCUCAAAUUUCUAGUUGAUUAUUUGUUUAUGAUAUUCUAUUAAAUAAUAUAAAUUCAAUUCAUUUACCAGAAAAAGUAAAUUAUUCUUCAAAACGCUGAAAUUUUUCAAUUGUUCAUGCUUUCACUUCAAAUCGCUUCGUUUUUCGCUCAAUCCCAGCGUAAACCGUCUAACUUUAAGAAAAUUACGCAACUUUUGCAUUCUAAUGACUGUGACAAAUGCUAUGCUGCACGCUAACAAUGAAUUACUGAACUAAAUUACAUUUUUGCUUAAAAAUUAUCUAUUUAUAUCACAAUAAGAUCUAGUUCCAUACAACCAUUAGUUAAUCUAAAAUAAAUUUGUAAAAAUCACUUGCUUUUAUUAUUGUUACACGAAAAUCUACCCUUAAACUAUUUGUGUUUGAAAAUAUUUAGUGUAAAAAGUAUUUUAACAUUAAUUUUGUGGAAUUAGGCCUAUGAGAAACAAGGAAAGACACAAAAUGAUACUCUGGUGUGCUUCAUACAUUAUAUUUGAUGAGAUGAAAAUUGAAAUACCUUUUAAACCAUGCAUUUUUCGUAUAAGUACUCUUGCGCAGAGAAUAAAAAAUUUCAUCCACUGCUGUAAAAAAAUAUAUAUAUGUACUUUAAAAAAGACUAAUGAUCUUGAAAUAUCAUUAAAAAAUGAUCUUGAGAAAUUAACUUUGUUCUGAGAAAAUAUUUCGUACAAUUAUAAAUAACGCAGUUAUUUAAGUGAUCUCAUUUAGCUGAUGAUAAGAUACCCGAUACAAUAACAAAUCUACGGUAUCUGCGUACGAUGACAGAUGGUAUUUUCCUUGCAUCUGACUUCAAAAUGCAAGCACAUUACAAAUAAAGCGAGUUCGAAAAUUAAUGAAAUUUUAAUCUUCUUUUUACACGAGAACGAUUGAGUUGCAAUACAUGGUUUCUUUGAGACCUUUCGUCCUCAUGGAUAACAGAGUACAAUACAAUAAAAGAAGUUCGGCUUUGAAUUUCAAGGACAAGAUGAUUAGAGUCACGCGGUCGCAACACGUAAUUUCCUCGAACACCACACUGUUUUGUCAGAUUAAUAGAAAAAAUAACUUUUUAUUAAUAUUUCAUUAAAAGAUACUUGUAAAAAUUUGCAAGACAAUAAUAACAAAAGUGAUCACCUUCACAUGUAACAAAUGGUUAUAUUCCAUUGUAAUAUUUCUUUUAAUUUGUUUUGCAUAUAAUUUUACAUAAUCCUACAUAGCAAUAAAGUAAUAUGGGAAGUUGAGAAAUAUAAUAAUAUAAGUUAGGCCAUUGAUAUUUUUCAUAGAAUGAGAUUUCACUUUUAUUGUUAUAAAACAUUCUCUCUCUCGUACACUCGCACACAUAAUAUAUUUUUUAGAAUUGUAAAUAUAUUUCGUAACAUUUAUUAUUUUUGAUCAAUUAAUUUAACUUGUUACUUUUCGUAAUUAAAAUAAAUUAUAAAACUCGAAUUUCCAAAAUACAAGACAAACCAUUAUGAGUCUUAGCUCACUAUACAAUAAUGUACUUAUACGGCACAUUAUCAAAAUUAUUAUCAAGAGCGUAAUAUUUCGAUUACGUUUAAGCUUUUUCUUACGAGAAACUAUUGUUCGUCUCUAUACGAAAUACGAAUAUUUCGACAUUUUUAUUACAGCCAAGGUAUUAUUCUUACUAGUCACAAGUAAGAAUUAAUUUCUUAAUAUAAUAAUGUAUAAUUCAGUCUUACCAGAACGUUAUUGAAAUGUCAAUCUACUCUUUGAAUUAUUUCUUCAUAAUUGCGCCACGAUUGGACCAUUAUUAUAGGCCUAUUGGCAAUUACGCUCAUUAUCCAAACGCACUUAACGGACGACUUUAGGUUGUAACAUUCCGCAAAUGCUUGGUUGAAAAUGCCUGCCAAUCAUCGAUCAAACUGCUCUAUCUUUUAUUUCAGGAAGCAUUUUCAUCGAUUAGUGAACAUGCAAAGUAACAAAUGUAAUAUACAAGAUAUGAGAAAAUAUCUAUAUUUGGACAUAAAAAAAGCAUUCGACGAAGUCUGGUACGAAGGUUUACUGCAAUUUACCAAUUAUUAAAAUCUUACCUAAAUAACCAAACAUUCUACGUAAAAAUAAAUGAUUCGUACUGAGACUUACAAGCAACAUGCGCUGCAGUACGAUAAGGAAGUCUGUUACGUCUAGUAUUUUACACUUUAUACACAGCAGACGUUCUAGCAACACUAAUCAUUACAACAUGUAUAUAGCAAUGCGUGGAAAUCCACAAGAAGCAAUUGAGAUCUUACAAACCUACAUAAGUUCACUAAAAAAUGGUUGCUAUAGCAGAGAAUAAUGGUCAAUUAUAAUAAGUGUAAUUACAUUGUUUUCACUUCUCGUAGACUCUCUAAAGAUCACGCUUCACAUCAAUGAAUACCGCAAACAAAAGUGAUCAAAUAUCUGGAAUUACAUUUACCCUCGAAACUAACUUGGAAACAGCAUGUACACAAAAAGAUGCAACAAGAAUUAGGAGGAAAGACGUCGUUCGAAACUUAGUAUAGAAAACAAAUUACUAAUCUACAGAGUAUUAUCUAAGGUACUUCUAUAUAGGGUAUCUAUAGAGAGAUAAUAAAACUAAUAUGGACGUACGGCAUCCAAUUAUGGGAUAUAGUGGCUAAAAGCCGCAUUGCCAAAGUGGAAGCUAUACAAUCAUAUAUUUCGUACUAUAGUAGACGCACUUUGUUACAUACUAAGUGAAGAACUACGCAAAGAUCUUCAAAUGUCCGCUAUAAAGGAGAAAAUUCAGUGAAUAUCCGACAGAUGUAAAACAACACCUGAACCACCCAAACGCGCUAGCCAAAUAAACUGUACACUGACAGUGUCGUUUAAAGAUUGAAAAAGAAACGACCGCAGCAUCCGGAGUGACGCAAGAUCAAAUAUUGAAACAUACUUGUAUAGUGCUAAUCCAAUGGGAUUAAAGUGUAUGAAUACACUGGGAGUUAUUAAAAAAAAAAAAGAAAAGAUAUGCAGCGCAAAGCACGUAUUUAAUUACGAUUAAGAGUAACCUAUAGUUAUUUGCAUUAUUGAAAUAUUAUAAUAUCGAUAUCUGUAUAUAUUGGUAUGAAUGCAAAUAAUUAUAUACUUAUUAUUCAAAGUUGUUGAAUAUAAAUUGUUCACACUAUAAGAAUGUUUCGAUUAAAUUUCUAAUGUUACGAAGUAUAAUGCAUCGACGUAUUUUUUUCAGUAUUCACUUCGUGUGUUGUAUUAUACAACAUACAUUCAUUUUCCAUUCAUUGUUGUAAGUUUACCGCACUAUUUAUCGAUGGCAAGACGACAAGGUCUUCAGGUGUCGUCGUAAAACAAAGCGAAAGAACUCAAGUUAUUCGAAGUUAUUAUUACUUUGGAGAUCGUUUUGAAAUUUACUUUAUUACUUUGAAUUCUAUCUUUAAAAAACACGUCGUAUUUAAUACCUCUAGAAUACUGAUAAAAUAUAUUUGCUACUUAAAGUAGUGAACUACCGUUCCUACAACAUGUAAUUAUCAUAAUACAAUAUUUUUAUAAGUAUGGAAAAUCCGCAAAUACAGUUUCAGUUUUAGUAAAUUUAUCUACAAGUAGAUAAGAUGGACCACUUCAACAGAAGUUACAUUAUUCUAUUAAAUUAAAUGGUAUCAGAAUAGGGGCUACUGCGUCGAUUUCAAUGGCCUUGAAAUAUGUUGUAAAAGUCAAUAUUCUGAGCAAGUAUGUUCUGUCUAAGCGGUAAUGCGCAAAUAUCUGAGAAAAUACAAUGAUACGAAAAGAUGUUUCAGACAAAAGUGCUGAGCUUUUAUCUAUAAUACUUGACCUUGCUAUGAUUGUGAAACAGCCUGUAAAGGCGACAUUAAAAUUUUUAUAUGAAUACAUCAAUUUUUUAUUAUAUAUUUUUGUAGCUGACACUCAGACGUCUUCAAAACACUAUAAACUCUUAUCAAUCUGUGUCACCCACUAUGAAAAUAUGAACUUUAAAAUUCAAUGUGUCGUCGGCAUUAGCGUUACACGAUGUACACCACAGAGACAUAUAAAAAUCAUUUUCAUAAUUGCUGUACUGCCCAAACACAAGGUCGCAAUUUUCUAAUAUUUCCAAAACAGUCAGUCUUUUCUGAGCAGUCACUUUUGGCUGAUAUCUUGUAUUAUUCUCCUGAAUUUGAGAGUUUAUAUCACGAUAGCAAAUGGUGCGGAAGAGACAAGAUUGUAGUGUUCUGAAAACGUCUCUAUGUCACCUAUACGAAUAUGUAAUAAAAAUGGAAAUUCCCAUUUAAAAAUUGGAAUGUCACUACCAUAACAGCUGCCAAAAUUAUCGCAAGGACAAGUACACCAGACUAUAAUAUAUCUUCCUCCAUGUCAGGCAAUUGUUGUCUGAAACAUUUUUUCGUAUCACUGAUGUUUUUCAAAAUAUUUGUGUGGUUUGAGAUAAACUGAACAUAUUGUAUACAGUAAAUCAUUAUUAAAAAUAAAAUUAAUUUUUUUACUAUU